UACGUAGGGGGCUAGCGUUGCUCGGAAUUACUGGGCGUAAAGCGCACGUAGGCGGAUUGUUAAGUCGGGGGUGAAAUCCUGGAGCUCAACUCCAGAACUGCCUUCGAUACUGGCGAUCUCGAGUUCGGGAGAGGUGAGUGGAACUGCGAGUGUAGAGGUGAAAUUCGUAGAUAUUCGCAAGAACACCAGUGGCGAAGGCGGCUCACUGGCCCGAUACUGACGCUGAGGUGCGAAAGCGUGAGGAGCAAACAGG
rnacentral:rRNA from 1 species